AUCUGCCCUAAUUUUUUUAAGUUUUUCACUCUACAAUUUAGUCUCUUUUUUUUCUCUUUAGUCUACUCUCGCUUCUCCACUUCAUUUGAAUGCUUGGAUCAGUUCUUUAAUUGUUAGGAAAAUCCAUAGAUUUGAGCUUAUUUUUCUAUCAUUUUCUCAUAAUCUUAUUUAUUUUGUAUAAUCCCUAAUCAAUGGUGGCUAUCAACUAUAAAAUAAUUAUGUUAAUCAUAUAUUUAGUUAAAUAUGAUCAUAAUAAAAAUAAUAAAGCACUAAAUAUAAUAAAUCAUUUUUAACUUAUAUGCUAUUAUUUAAUGAUAUAGAAAUGAUGAUGGUGUGCAUUGGAUAUCAAGACGGUAAAGGAGACAUUAGAAUAUUAUAAUGAUCUUAUUCCUGCAAUUACUUUUGAUUGAUAUUUUAUUAUCUUUCUUAUUUAUUUAUUUUGGUGUAAAAGUAGAAUCUACGAUACUUAUUAGAUUUUUUAUACAAAUUAUAUAAUUUUAAUUGUUACCAAUGCAUUUUAGUCUUAAAUUUUCUUACUAAAAAAAUAUUGAUCUCUUAUUAUUGAGAUUUAGAAUUCGUGAUGGAUCUAGAGCAGAUUUAGAUUUUAAUUUUUUUUUUAUUUGGAGCAGAUAUAGAUCUUUAUUUUUUAUUUUGGAUCUAGAUAUGAAGCGAAAAAUAUAGAUCCAUGACGGAUCUGAAACAAAUACGGAUCUUAAUUUUUAUUACGAAUCUGAACCUGGAGCAAUAUAAAUCCAAUCUAUAUCUGCUCUAUUAUCAUCCCUACAAAUGCAUCAGGGUUAACAAGGCAAGGAAUCAUUCACCACUUGAUUUUUAAAUCCUCAAUUUAAAUGUUUCAUCGGUCCAAUUUAUGUUAUAUACUGCUUCAUUAAUUAAUUACUCACCCACUGGAGGACUUAGUAGUUACAAUAGUCAAAUUUCUAUAUUAUCUAAUAAUUUAUAAUGGAUGGAAGCCUUCUCGUCUUUUCAAUUCUGCAAUUACAUUUUCGGUCCCACUCUCGACAGUGAUCAGGGGCUUGGAAUCCCACUUCAUUUGACCGAGAAAUGUUAUUGCAAUUUGCAUCAGCUUUGUGGCCAUGGGAGCGUGGACUACGUGUCAGUUUCCAAAUGGAUCAAUUAUUCGUUCAUAUUCACUACGAAAAAAAGAAAAAAAGUGCUUUUAGUACCACUAUCUAAUAAUAUCUCAUUUUUCCUGACUUAUCAACAGACCAUGUCGUCCGCAGUCCGCACGUUAUGUUUCAAUCAACUGCAUCAACCAACCAUAUAUUAUUGAUGCGUUGAAUGAUUAUUUAUUUCCAAAUUAAAAUAGAUACUAUUUUCAAAGUUUCCCAAUGGUCGUGACUCGUGAUUCGAUAAAAGAAUUUUCUACGGGAUGAACCGUUUGAUUUUUCUUUCUUACGUACCGACAGCUUUGGCCCACACUGGGGAGGUGUUAGCUUCCAAGUAAUGCAGCAGUUAUGCCUUGUUGUCUGAUAGCAACAGCAACAAGGAAAGACAGUAUUUGUCUCCUUAUUAAAACAUAUCAUAAUUCAUAGAAUUUGAAUGUGAUCAUCGUUUGACAAAAACUUGUUACCGUAAACUUGGCCCACAUGAGUGAGAAUUCCACACACAUGUAUUGACUAAAAAUCCGUUGUUUAGGUAUCAUAUGAAUGUGAUAUAUUGAAAUAUUUAUCUAAUUGUCCACGUUGCCGUAUUAUUUAGAUUAGAGUAUCAUUUAGGUGUUAUUGUUAGAACAAUACUAAGUAUACUGCCACGUUAAAUUCUGCAUUUCAACUUAUGAUCACGUCUCUUGAAUCGACUUUCACUUCACUACACCCCGCAUCUUGGGUUGGGGAUCGGGUUUGGGGAAGCACAUAAAAUUGAUUUAAGGUAUCCCCUUCAAUUUCUCCAAAUUCAUUUCGGGUUAGGAAAGGAAAUACACAUGUAUCGCGACCUGCGACCUGCGACCUGCACAGUAUUUCCUGAAAUUUCAAUAUAGUUUCUAAAAAGCUCUAAAGUGGUGUUUCGUUGGAAAAAGGGGAUAGACCCGUAACCUGAUUUUUUUUUUUUUUUUCACUUUUGUUGUUUGGUUGGAUAAAAUAUAUAAGAACUUAAUUUCAAUUA
rnacentral:lncRNA from 1 species